CCCGCGGGGCCCGGCCUGAUCCUGCCGUGAGGGGACGCAGAGGCUGCGGGCGGGAGCGGGGCCUGGCCCAGGCGCUCCAGGGAUGCACAUUCCGUGCUUAAAAAUAGUUUGUGGGUGUGAGGCAUCAGGAGGCCUGGUAUUCUCGCAGCCCCUGAGGAUGGGCAAUUCUCCGCUCCACGCUGCAGUUCCAGCGUUCGUGGGUAUGUCCAACAGCCUCAUGGAGAUGUCCUGCACGCUCAUCCUAUGGUUUAAGGCCUCGCACCCGGAGCUUUUUUAUCUGGAUGCAUUCAGGAGUACAUCUGGUGGUCAUUGAGGAAAACAAAUUGAAAUUUAAAAGCGUAAGGAAUGCAAGGAAGCCAAUGAAAGACACUUCACAUGCCUGUACCUCUUUUCACCCUGGGAAUUCCACAGCUUCUGAGGACAGAAAGGUUUUCCCACCAGCCUCUUCUGUGGUGGGUAAAUCUCCAUCAUAAAGCAUUUUCUAAGCAGCUGACUGGGACAGGGAUGAGAAUGUGUUUCAGAGCUUUUCCCCUGGUUCUUGAAAGUGCAAAAUAAGCCUGGUAGAAGCCAUGGCAGGACUGAGCACAGAAAGCAGCUUUUGAAGGUGACACUGCUGCUCCCAGGUGGUACAGCAUGGACCCUCUCUCACCUGGGAGUGCUUGGACCCAAUUUACAGCUGGCAAACUUUGAAGAAAUCAAAUAAAACUUCUUUUGUAAUUUUA